ACAGGUGUCAAUAGCCAUUCUGACUUCAGAGCCGCACGCAGGUUUCAACAGCCAUUUUGAAUUCACCUCUUUUCAUUGCCUCCAGAAGAAAAGUUCAACACACAAGAAAGAUGGAGAUUUUGAAGACUGCACUAUUUCUUCUUUUGAUUGUGACAGCAGUGGCAUCAAAACCAGCUGGUCGGCGUGGUUACCUAAUCAGGCAACGUAGAAGCAGUAGCUCAGAGUCAGACUCCUCAGCGUCAGACUCCUCAGAUUCCUCUGCAUCCGAUUCAUCAGAGGAGGCAACAACAGCUCAGCCAACGACAGCUGCAAGCCUCAUCGAUGAGACAACCACCCAAGCAGUCACAACCACACCUCCAAGCACAUCUACCGUGAUCACUAAAUGUUUCACUGUGGAUAUUUCAAUCUCUCCUUCAACCGUAACCCCUGACAACCGUGGGGAUAACCUGCAAGCACUUUAAUUAAGUUAGUGCUUUAUCAGGUUUGAUUAGCCAUGUUGAUAUAACUGCUUCUUUUCACAAGUUUGUGGAAAUGUAAGUUCACAGCUUCUACCAAAUGCAGAUUGAAUCAAGUCCAUAAUUAGUAGUUAAUUUUAGACUGCUUUGUCCAUUUGAAAUAUAUUUGAAGCUUUUGAAAGAAUUUCUGAAAAUGAAGCAGUAGCAAAUGUUCUGUCAUCAUAAAUCACCAAGGCCCCCUUUUCCCAUUUCAUUACAUAGAUGCCUUUGAAGGGUUAUUACUCUGUUAUCAGGCUGUAAAGGAUAGGAGGUUGAGAACAAAUGUAUGAAUGUGCUGUUUGUCACAUACUUGGGGAAAAACCCUCUUGCCUUCUGUGUGAAGUUGCAGCCCAUUAAAGUCUCUUACAGUCAGAUCCACAA